GUUUCAUUUCCACCCAAGACAGCCUAGAACUGGGGCUGGUAAAGGUAGGUGAGGAACCAGCAGUUGGUAAUGGGAAAGGUCUGGUAGAAAGAAAGCUCUAGAACCUACCUGCUUACAGAGUCACCACAAGGUGCAGAUAACUAUAAUGUCAGCUAACGUCACUUGUUCACCCACCAGAAAAGUCCCCAUCUUCAAGUGAGCAUCCAGCGGCUCCAGACCUCACCUCACCUCCUCCCCUGCAUCCUGGGUGGCCUGUUUGUUGUGGUGCAUUUUGCUCAAGAAGUGGACAGGGAAUGUCAACACCCAUGUUAGCCCUUGGAGAGAUGCAGAACCUGGUAGAAUCUAUUUCCUUUCAUUCCAGGCACCACUGUAAUAAGGCUCAUCCCACCAUUACUCGGACACUUUUCCUGGAGCAUCUUUUCUUCAUUGGUUGACCUGUGCUCCUUCAUUGAAAAGCAACUGACCAUACAAAUAGUGAUAAAAAUGGCAGCAAUGUGGAAGACAGCCUGGAAUGGGGAGAGGCAAACAUCAGAGACCUUAGAUUGCUAUUGCAAGAGUCAAGACAGUCCCAA
rnacentral:lncRNA from 1 species